rnacentral:rRNA from 1 species
GAAGAGAUCAACAGGGAUUGCCUUAGUAACGGCGAGUGAAGCGGCAACAGCUCAAAUUUGAAAUCUGGCUCUUUUAGAGUCCGAGUUGUAAUUUGCAGAGGGCGCUUUGGCGUUGGCAGCGGUCCAAGUUCCUUGGAACAGGACGUCACAGAGGGUGAGAAUCCCGUACGUGGUCGCUAGCCAUCACCGUGUAAAGCCCCUUCGACGAGUCGAGUUGUUUGGGAAUGCAGCUCUAAAUGGGAGGUAAAUUUCUUCUAAAGCUAAAUACUGGCCAGAGACCGAUAGCGCACAAGUAGAGUGAUCGAAAGAUGAAAAGCACUUUGGAAAGAGAGUCAAAUAGCACGUGAAAUUGUUGAAAGGGAAGCGCUUGCAGCCAGACUUGCCUGUAGUUGCUCAUCCGGGCUUUUGCCCGGUGCACUCUUCUGCGGGCAGGCCAGCAUCAGUUUGGGCGGUUGGAUAAAGGUCUCUGUCAUGUACCUCUCUUCGGGGAGAACUUAUAGGGGAGACGACAUACAACCAGCCUGGACUGAGGUCCGCGCAUUUGCUAGGAUGCUGGCGUAAUGGCUGUAAGCGGCCCGUCUUGAAACACGGACCAAGGAGUCUAACAUCUAUGCGAGUGUUUGGGUGUCAAGCCCGAGCGCGUAAUGAAAGUGAACGGAGGUGGGACCCCUUUUAGGGUGCACCAUCGACCGAUCCUGAUGUCUUCGGAUGGAUUUGAGUAAGAGCAUGGCUGUUGGGACCCGAAAGAUGGUGAACUAUGCUUGAAUAGGGUGAAGCCAGAGGAAACUCUGGUGGAGGCUCGCAGCGGUUCUGACGUGCAAAUCGAUCGUCAAAU